rnacentral:rRNA from 1 species
AUAAUGCAGUCGACGCACUUUCGUUAUUGAUUUUGAGAUGCUUGCAUCGAAGAUGAUUUUAACUAUAAAGUGAGUGGCGAACGGGUGAGUAACACGUGGGUAACCUGCCCAGAAGUGGGGGAUAACACCUGGAAACAGAUGCUAAUACCGCAUAACAAAAUUAACCGCAUGGUUGAUUUUUAAAAGAUGGCUUCGGCUAUCACUUCUGGAUGGACCCGCGGCGUAUUAGCUAGUUGGUGAGAUAAAGGCUCACCAAGGCAGUGAUACGUAGCCGACCUGAGAGGGUAAUCGGCCACAUUGGGACUGAGACACGGCCCAGACUCCUACGGGAGGCAGCAGUAGGGAAUCUUCCACAAUGGACGCAAGUCUGAUGGAGCAACGCCGCGUGAGUGAUGAAGGCUUUCGGGUCGUAAAACUCUGUUGUUGGAGAAGAACGUGUGUGAGAGUAACUGCUCAUGCAGUGACGGUAUCCAACCAGAAAGCCACGGCUAACUACGUGCCAGCAGCCGCGGUAAUACGUAGGUGGCAAGCGUUAUCCGGAUUUAUUGGGCGUAAAGCGAGCGCAGGCGGUCUUUUAAGUCUAAUGUGAAAGCCUUCGGCUUAACCGAAGAAGUGCAUUGGAAACUGGGAGACUUGAGUGCAGAAGAGGAGAGUGGAACUCCAUGUGUAGCGGUGAAAUGCGUAGAUAUAUGGAAGAACACCAGUGGCGAACGCGGCUCUCUGGUCUGCAACUGACGCUGAGCUCGAAAGCAUGGGUAGCGAACAGGAUUAGAUACCCUGGUAGUCAUGCGUAACGAUGAUGCUAGUGUGGAGGGUUCCGCCCUCAGUGCUGCAGCUACGCAUAGCAUCCGCC